rnacentral:lncRNA from 1 species
CUCUUUUUUGUGCUAUGUUUGUUAUAAUGAUGGAAGUAAGUGGACAGUUAAAAACCACGUGUUUCUUUAAUCAAAGAUGUCGAUGUAAAACUUCAAAUAAAACAUAUGUCGAGGUUGAUUGUUCACAUGCAAAACUAAGGGAUAUACCUUACCUGCCACAAAAUGUGAGCAGUGUUAAUUUAAGUUACAAUAAUAUACAUAAAAUACCGGAACAUUUUAAAAACAAC